rnacentral:rRNA from 1 species
CCUACGGGAGGCAGCAGUAGGGAAUUUUCCACAAUGGGCGAAAGCCUGAUGGAGCAAUACCGCGUGCAGGAUGAAGGCCUUCGGGUCGUAAACUGCUUUUAUGUGCGAAGAAUUUGACGGUAACACAUGAAUAAGGAUCGGCUAACUACGUGCCAGCAGCCGCGGUCAUACGUAGGAUCCAAGCGUUAUCCGGAAUUACUGGGCGUAAAGAGUUGCGUAGGUGGCAUUGUAAGUGGAGCGUGAAAGCGUGCGGCUCAACCGCAUUAUUGCGUUCCAAACUGUGAAGCUUGAGUAUGGGAGAGGUAGAUGGAAUUUCUAGUGUAGGAGUGAAAUCCGUAGAUAUUAGAAGGAACACCGAUGGCGUAGGCAGUCUACUGGCCCAUUACUGACACUAAGGCACGAAAGCGUGGGGAGCAAACGGGAUUAGAUACCCCGGUAGUCCACGCUGUAAACUAUGGAUGCUAGCUGUGACACACACUACGUACCUCGUGUCGUAGUACGUAACGUAACGUACGUAACGUACGACGUCCGCCGUCGGGAGGUACGGUCGGCGAAGUAAGUUAAAACGUUAAAGUUAAGUUAAGUUAGUUACGGUUACGUGAGACGUUGCCGACGGACGACGACGAGGGAGGAGG